GACGAACGCUGGCGGCGUGCUUAACACAUGCAAGUCGAACGGAAAGGCCCUGCUUUUGUGGGGUGCUCGAGUGGCGAACGGGUGAGUAACACGUGAGUAACCUGCCCUUUACUUUGGGAUAACUUCAGGAAACUGGGGCUAAUACCGGAUAGGAGCUCCUGCUGCAUGGUGGGGGUUGGAAAGUUUCGGCGGUGGGGGAUGGACUCGCGGCUUAUCAGCUUGUUGGUGGGGUAGUGGCUUACCAAGGCUUUGACGGAUAGCCGGCCUGAGAGGGUGACCGGCGACAUUGGGACUGAGAUACGGCCCAGAGUCCUACGGGAGACAGCGGGGGAGAAUAUUGCACAAUGGGCGGAAGCGUGAUGCAGCAACGCCGCGUGCGGGAUGCCGGCCUUCGGGUUAUAAACCGCUUUCGCCUGUGACGAAGCGUGAGUGACGGUAAUGGGUGAAGAAGCACCGGCUAACUACGUG
rnacentral:rRNA from 1 species